GAAGAAAGAACUAGCACCAAUACACCAAAAGUUAUCGCUUAUGCAUAAUACUUUUGAAGAAUUAAAUAAUAUGGUAAAGUUUUUAUCAGAUAAAUAUGACAAGUUGUUGAACCAAGUCAAGUCAACUAAUGAGAAUGUCCAACGCCAAAAUGUUAACAUUAAGAGUAUCACAAAUGAUUUGAAAGAAGUUAACGUUCCUUACAAGCUACAUCCCAAAUCGAAGAAUUAUCACAAUAUCUAUGCCGAGACUGCUUGGAAAUAACAGGCAUUAAAGAAUCAAGUGAUUGCUCGGCAG